rnacentral:misc_RNA from 1 species
UCAGCCAUGGCAGUUGUCGUGCGCUGGAUCUCGACCCUCCCACCCGUGUUGACUUGUAUUUUUGUUGCUUUGGCGGAUCGGGCUCGCCCAUGGUCGCGUUUCGUGCGUGAGCAUAUGGCGGUGCUGCCCAACCGGCUUCGGCUGGGGCGCGUCCGCCAGAGACCUUUACAUCCAAACUCAUUGUGGACCCUGUAGUCUAAGAUUUAGAUUUAAGAAUUGAUAA